CCCCCUCAACAAGGAGAUUAUGGACGAGUUCGACUUUUGGGUUUUACGGGAGAAGCUUUUCUUUCCUUUUUGGAGCCUCCAGCGUCCGGAAAGAGAUUGCAACAAUCGCAACAUAGUUCACCUUGUCACAACACCAGCAAUUUUUUUUAUGGUGCUCAUUCAGCUGUUCAGGAUAGCCCAAUUCUCGUGUACUCAACAAACAUUCUCAUCUCAGGGAAGAAAAUACUUAACCGUUUGAUCGGCUGGCUUUUCAUGAGUUACAGUUUGUGGUGGAAGAAGCACGAUCUCAUGGGAUUUACAGAGGGAGAGCUUAACCACACAGAGAUAUAUUUUUGCAUUUUAAAUAGCUCCCCAAGAGAUUAUUAGUUUGUACUUUUUGUUAAUUUAGAAUUUGUUUAAAAUGUACCCAGGACAAUGAUGAGUAAAUGCAUUUAUUCUGCAUGCAUUUAAGGCUUCAACGUACUUGUAUGAGUUCCGGGAGAAGCAUUAUUUAUUAAAAUUGUAUUCUUAAA